GUGCCAGCAGCCGCGGUAAUACAGAGGGUGCGAGCGUUAAUCGGAAUUACUGGGCGUAAAGGGCGCGUAGGCGGAUAUUUAAGUUGAAUGUGAAAUACCUGGGCUUAACCUGGGAAUGGCAUUCGAUACUGGGUAUCUAGAGUUGAGUAGAGGGAAGUGGAAUUUCCGGUGUAGCGGUGAAAUGCGUAGAUAUCGGAAGGAACACCAGUGGCGAAGGCGGCUUUCUGGACUCAAACUGACGCUGAGGCGCGAAAGCGUGGGUAGCAAACAGGAUUAGAUACCCUGGUAGUCC
rnacentral:rRNA from 1 species